rnacentral:tRNA from 2 species
GCCCCCGUAGCUCAGCGGACAGAGCAACCGCCUUCUAAGCGGUCGGUCGCAGGUUCGAUCCCUGCCGGGGGCGCCG